GUUGUUGUUUUUUUCAAAUGAUUUGGUACCGGGAAAUCGGUGGUCUUACUUAAUUUAAACCAUGUCAGCUAUGUAGUUUUGUCCACAGGCGCUUGGGUAUAUGAUACAUAUAUAUUUUUAUUUUUUGUUGUUGUUGAUCAAAAUAGUCAAUUUUCUAUAUUUAUAAUACAUAUGUAUCACUUUUGUGCAUGUCUCAGAGAAAAUACCCAAUUUUACAAUCCAUACUAAGAAAAAUUUGGGUAUUUUCUCUGAGUCGUUUAGAUCACUCGGAACUAGGUGAGACAUGCACAAAAGUGAUAUAUAUGCAUUA
rnacentral:lncRNA from 1 species